GUGGUCGUAGCUCAAUGGUAGAGCCCUGGAUUGUGGUUCCAGCUGUUGCGGGUUCGAGUCCCGUCGGCCACCCCA
rnacentral:tRNA from 1 species